AGUACAUUGGAUAAGAUAGAUAAUCACUUGGGUACUUCACGAUUCUUGUGUGGAGACACACUAACACUAGCAGAUGUUUGCUUGUUUACCACUUUGAUUCGGUUUGAUCCUGUAUAUCAUGUUCUGUUCAAGUGCACUAAGAAGAAGGUGCUCGAGUAUCCAAAUCUUCAUGGGUAUAUGCGAGACAUAUAUCAGAUACCAAAGGUUGCAGAAACUUGCAAUUUUUCUGCCAUUAUGGAUGGUUACUACAAAGUACUUUUCCCACUGAAUCCAGGCAGCAUUCGUCCAUCCAUGCCUUCAGGGUAUGAAGAUGAAAACCUUUAUGCAGCUCACAGCAGGGAAUCAUUUUCAUCUGUGAAUAAAGAUAUAGAGGUUUAUGUUUCAUAAAUCAUAGUUCUCUUUAUAAUUGUGUAUCACCUCUCAAUGUGUGCUGGGUGUUAAUAUUUUUCCCACAUUUUGAAUUUUAGCAAAAGAAAAAAAAAA
rnacentral:misc_RNA from 1 species